UUAAGCGACUAAGCGUACACGGUGGAUGCCCUGGCAGUCAGAGGCGAUGAAGGACGUGCUAAUCUGCGAUAAGCGUCGGUAAGGUGAUAUGAACCGUUAUAACCGGCGAUUUCCGAAUGGGGAAACCCAGUGUGAUUCGUCACACUAUCAUUAACUGAAUCCAUAGGUUAAUGAGGCGAACCGGGGGAACUGAAACAUCUAAGUACCCCGAGGAAAAGAAAUCAACCGAGAUUCCCCCAGUAGCGGCGAGCGAACGGGGAGGAGCCCAGAGCCUGAAUCAGUGUGUGUGUUAGUGGAAGCGUCUGGAAAGGCGCGCGAUACAGGGUGACAGCCCCGUACACAAAAAUGCACAUGCUGUGAGCUCGAUGAGUAGGGCGGGACACGUGGUAUCCUGUCUGAAUAUGGGGGGACCAUCCUCCAAGGCUAAAUACUCCUGACUGACCGAUAGUGAACCAGUACCGUGAGGGAAAGGCGAAAAGAACCCCGGCGAGGGGAGUGAAAAAGAACCUGAAACCGUGUACGUACAAGCAGUGGGAGCCUCUUAAUGGGGUGACUGCGUACCUUUUGUAUAAUGGGUCAGCGACUUAUAUUCUGUAGCAAGGUUAACCGAAUAGGGGAGCCGAAGGGAAACCGAGUCUUAACUGGGCGUUAAGUUGCAGGGUAUAGACCCGAAACCCGGUGAUCUAGCCAUGGGCAGGUUGAAGGUUGGGUAACACUAACUGGAGGACCGAACCGACUAAUGUUGAAAAAUUAGCGGAUGACUUGUGGCUGGGGGUGAAAGGCCAAUCAAACCGGGAGAUAGCUGGUUCUCCCCGAAAGCUAUUUAGGUAGCGCCUCGUGAAUUCAUCUCCGGGGGUAGAGCACUGUUUCGGCAAGGGGGUCAUCCCGACUUACCAACCCGAUGCAAACUGCGAAUACCGGAGAAUGUUAUCACGGGAGACACACGGCGGGUGCUAACGUCCGUCGUGAAGAGGGAAACAACCCAGACCGCCAGCUAAGGUCCCAAAGUCAUGGUUAAGUGGGAAACGAUGUGGGAAGGCCCAGACAGCCAGGAUGUUGGCUUAGAAGCAGCCAUCAUUUAAAGAAAGCGUAAUAGCUCACUGGUCGAGUCGGCCUGCGCGGAAGAUGUAACGGGGCUAAACCAUGCACCGAAGCUGCGGCAGCGACACUAUGUGUUGUUGGGUAGGGGAGCGUUCUGUAAGCCUGUGAAGGUGGCCUGUGAGGGUUGCUGGAGGUAUCAGAAGUGCGAAUGCUGACAUAAGUAACGAUAAAGCGGGUGAAAAGCCCGCUCGCCGGAAGACCAAGGGUUCCUGUCCAACGUUAAUCGGGGCAGGGUGAGUCGACCCCUAAGGCGAGGCCGAAAGGCGUAGUCGAUGGGAAACAGGUUAAUAUUCCUGUACUUGGUGUUACUGCGAAGGGGGGACGGAGAAGGCUAUGUUGGCCGGGCGACGGUUGUCCCGGUUUAAGCGUGUAGGCUGGUUUUCCAGGCAAAUCCGGAAAACCAAGGCUGAGGCGUGAUGACGAGGCACUACGGUGCUGAAGCGACAAAUGCCCUGCUUCCAGGAAAAGCCUCUAAGCAUCAGGUAACAUCAAAUCGUACCCCAAACCGACACAGGUGGUCAGGUAGAGAAUACCAAGGCGCUUGAGAGAACUCGGGUGAAGGAACUAGGCAAAAUGGUGCCGUAACUUCGGGAGAAGGCACGCUGAUAUGUAGGUGAAGCGACUUGCUCGUGGAGCUGAAAUCAGUCGAAGAUACCAGCUGGCUGCAACUGUUUAUUAAAAACACAGCACUGUGCAAACACGAAAGUGGACGUAUACGGUGUGACGCCUGCCCGGUGCCGGAAGGUUAAUUGAUGGGGUUAGCGGUAACGCGAAGCUCUUGAUCGAAGCCCCGGUAAACGGCGGCCGUAACUAUAACGGUCCUAAGGUAGCGAAAUUCCUUGUCGGGUAAGUUCCGACCUGCACGAAUGGCGUAAUGAUGGCCAGGCUGUCUCCACCCGAGACUCAGUGAAAUUGAACUCGCUGUGAAGAUGCAGUGUACCCGCGGCAAGACGGAAAGACCCCGUGAACCUUUACUAUAGCUUGACACUGAACAUUGAGCCUUGAUGUGUAGGAUAGGUGGGAGGCUUUGAAGUGUGGACGCCAGUCUGCAUGGAGCCGACCUUGAAAUACCACCCUUUAAUGUUUGAUGUUCUAACGUUGGCCCCUAAUCGGGGUUGCGGACAGUGUCUGGUGGGUAGUUUGACUGGGGCGGUCUCCUCCUAAAGAGUAACGGAGGAGCACGAAGGUUGGCUAAUCCUGGUCGGACAUCAGGAGGUUAGUGCAAUGGCAUAAGCCAGCUUGACUGCGAGCGUGACGGCGCGAGCAGGUGCGAAAGCAGGUCAUAGUGAUCCGGUGGUUCUGAAUGGAAGGGCCAUCGCUCAACGGAUAAAAGGUACUCCGGGGAUAACAGGCUGAUACCGCCCAAGAGUUCAUAUCGACGGCGGUGUUUGGCACCUCGAUGUCGGCUCAUCACAUCCUGGGGCUGAAGUAGGUCCCAAGGGUAUGGCUGUUCGCCAUUUAAAGUGGUACGCGAGCUGGGUUUAGAACGUCGUGAGACAGUUCGGUCCCUAUCUGCCGUGGGCGCUGGAGAACUGAGGGGGGCUGCUCCUAGUACGAGAGGACCGGAGUGGACGCAUCACUGGUGUUCGGGUUGUCAUGCCAAUGGCACUGCCCGGUAGCUAAAUGCGGAAGAGAUAAGUGCUGAAAGCAUCUAAGCACGAAACUUGCCCCGAGAUGAGUUCUCCCUGAGACUUAGAGUCUCCUGAAGGAACGUUGAAGACGACGACGUUGAUAGGCCGGGUGUGUAAGCGCAGCGAUGCGUUGAGCUAACCGGUACUAAUGAACCGUGAGGCUUAACCUU
rnacentral:rRNA from 3 species